ensembl:lncRNA
AUGUUCAUCUUCACACUUAUUAGUUUAUGGAUUCAUCUGGGUGACACAGAGGCAAAUGCAAUCAUCCCACUAUUACCUAUUAUGAGCACUGUUGUAGGUGAAAAUGUAACCAUAUCCUAUAGUUACAAAGGAUUCACAGGAAGAGUGCUGAAUGCACAGUGGUACAGACAAUAUGACGGAUCAAAACCAGUCUUCCGUACCCACAGCUAUUCACACAAAGGUCCAGACUUACCAAUAACCAUAUCAAGAUUUUCUGGCAAAUUUGAUCAGGACCUCCAACAAGUGGAUCUACAGAUCUCAAAAGUUUUUUUGACAGAUUCAGCUGUGUACUACUGUGCACUGCAGCCCACAAUCACAGGAAACUAAGAGUUCCUAUACAAAAACAUACUAUAUUUCAGAUUUAAGGCCUUUCACGUCAUAGUUUUGGAGAUUCUGUUGAUUUCAAAAGCUAACAUGACAUGAUUUGGACUUUGUCCCAAUACUGUAACAAUUUAAAUUGCAGAUAAAUGAUAACCAACUUUUUUUUUUCAAAAACCAAUCAGGUAACAACCAACUUCUCCUCAAUUCACCAAUGUCCUUAUGAUACAUUUAAGAUGGAUAUUAUAUUGAUGCCUUUACUUGCUAGUUUUAAUGUUUUGGUUGGUUUCAAUGUACUGUACAUAAAAAAUUCAAACCAAAUAUAAAAAAUGACUUUUUGCAGUAGAAGGUGUCAGUUGUGGGAAAUAUCACUUAUAAUUUCUAAUAAUCAACAGAGGGUCCCACAAUCCUUUGGGUGGAGCUUGAUGAGAAUGAGUACAGCAGAAGGCAGUCCUGUGUUUCUCCAAAUCUCAUUUUGCAGAUGAUCUCCCACAGUCAUAAUGAUUUUGUUUUACCUUAAUGUUUUGGCACUCCUAAUGGGUAUGUAAUUUUGAUAUUUGCGUGUGUUAAUAUAUCUAUAUUUGCUUGGAGGCUAUACAUCCAAAUAUAUUAAAAAACAGAUAUAAUUUCUGAAGGCGCAAUAUAAUUAUUGAUCUUCUGUUGUUUACAUUUUCCCAGAGAGUGUUUUUGCAGAUGCAAUAACACCCCUCUCUACUGAAAAUCAUGCUUUCAAAGGAGAAAAUGCGAUUCUUUCAUGCAACUACAGUGGAAGUAACAUACAGAGUUGGCAGUGGUACAAACAGCAUCCCAACAAUGCCCCUGAAUUUCUCUUGCAAGCUUUUGAAAAUAUGGGUCCAGAGAAGAAGGACAAUUAUGUUGCUGAAGCUAAAAAGAAUAAAAAACAUCUGACCCUGGAGAUCUCCA